GACGAACGCUGGCGGCGUGCUUAACACGUGCAAGUCGAACGGAAAGGCCCUGCUUUUGUGGGGUGCUCGAGUGGCGAACGGGUGAGUAACACGUGAGUAACCUGCCCUUGACUUUGGGAUAACUUCAGGAAACUGGGGCUAAUACCGGAUAGGAGCUCCUGCUGCAUGGUGGGGGUUGGAAAGUUUCGGCGGUUGGGGAUGGACUCGCGGCUUAUCAGCUUGUUGGUGGGGUAGUGGCUUACCAAGGCUUUGACGGGUAGCCGGCCUGAGAGGGUGACCGGCCACCUUGGGCCUGAGGUACGGCCCAGACUCCUACGGGAGGCAGCAGUGGGGAAUAUUGCACAAUGGGCGGAAGCCUGAUGCAGAAACGCCGCGUGCGGGAUGACGGCCUUCGGGUUGUAAACCGCUUUCGCCUGUGACGAAGCGUGAGUGACGGUAAUGGGUAAAGAAGCACCGGCUAACUACGUG
rnacentral:rRNA from 1 species